rnacentral:tRNA from 1 species
GGUAAAAUGGCUGAGUUUAGGUGAUAGACUGUAAUUCUAUUGACGGGAAUUCUUUCCCUUUUACCA